AACAUCGCGCACCUGCGGGAACCUGCGGAAGGAUCAUUAAUGAUUGGUGGCUGUUGCUGACUAGUGUUUCUAGUAUGUGCACGCCACACCUUCAAUCCCACUUACACCUGUGCACCUUCUGUAAUAAAUCUAUGUGGAUACGGAGAUGUGAAAGUUUGCGCUCUCCUACUCUGUUGAAGCAGUCUACUACGUUUUUUUACACACACACACACAAUAGUCAUUGAAUGUAUUUUUUAUUCU
rnacentral:misc_RNA from 1 species